rnacentral:lncRNA from 1 species
GGGCCCCAUGUCUUUAGCGGGGGCAGGAAGGGGAGCAGUCACUCACAUCCGUGAUGGCCUUCUUGGCCUUCUCCUCGGCGUUCCUGCACUCCUGCACGGCCUCCUCCACUUCAGUAUGAAGCUGGGACAGGUCUGACUCCAUCUUUUUCUUUUGGUUGAUGAGGCUGGUGUUCUAGAUACAUGUAGAGAAAACUAUCAAGUAGAUACUUUGUUAUUUGAUUCUACACCUGUAUCCACAGAAAAUUAAAACCAGUCAUUUUUUUAAAGUCUUGUUUUUAUUUAUUCCUUGUAUCCUUUGUUAUUGUGUAUUCCAUGUUUUGUAUCAGCUUUCCCUUUUCUUAUGAAAACGGAUAUGUUCUUGAGGUUUACCUAAAAUUACUCAGCUCUGAAGAAAGACUUCAAGCAGCGAAAGGUCUGCAAUUCUUCUCCUGACAUCUUUCGUAAUGUGUCUAUUCAGGAGCAUGAAAAUAUUGCAGGGAAAAUGGGAACAACUUUUUACCAGGACAAUAUCCUGGAAAUGAUUACAGUUGCAGAAAGAAUAUAGUAGAGUAAUGAAGAGGGGGUGGAGUCAGUGGAUGAUAUCAUUCCCACACAUACUAGAUUACAGCAAAAAGGCCCACAGGACCCUGCAGUAAGAUGGACACGAAAACUCAUUGCAGAGAAGAGCUGACGUCACUGUGUAUGGGACUGCAGAAAAAUGGUGUUCCGUUGAGAAUUUGGCUUACAAGUAGAUGCACUUGUACUUCGUUAAAUGCCCCACAUCUCCCUCUACAGAGCAAUCUAGGGGCUGUCCUCCAGAUCAGGGAUGCCAGAUGACAAGACAGCACGCAUUUCACCACUCCCAGAUUUGUGACUUUGGUGGAUCUCGCCAACCAAUCACGACCCCAUUAGCUUUUAAGUGUAGGCCCUCUUCUCAAGGUAGUGAUUCCGACAGCCAUGACUGACAGAUGAGAGAUGGCCCAACAGAUGAAGCAAUUUGCCAUUCUGGUUGGACAUACUCACUCAGAGCAUCUGGUUCAGAAGCUUCUGUGGUGUCCCGGCCUCUGCCACUCAGCAGGUUUGUCCACACGGCCCCUGACCUCCUCACCUGGGAGUGCAGCAGCUGCACCCGCUCGCUGGUCUCGAUCAGCUCCUGCUCCGCCAGC